AAUUUUCAAAGCGUGGAAACGAGACUUUCAACUUGAUUUGUUCAUUUUUACCUUCGUGGCUAACUUGGAUUCAGUAAAAGAGGAUAAAUUUACAAUGCUCAAAGAAACGUUGGCAAUCAUCAUUACAAACAUCAAUUAUUUUCUAUUGACGAUCCGUGUGGUGCAGUGCGGUGUUUGAUAUUAAAUGAAGAUAUGAUCUUCCCACUUUGCUGGACAAUGAAAGGAAUGUCAUAUAAAAGAAUUCUUUCAUAUGACAUGAAAGGAAUGUCAGAGUUACGAUUUACAUUUACUAAUUUCAGUGUCGUUUAUAGCUUUAAUGUUUUGCUCCACCAUCGUUAAAUCAUCUCACUAAUAAUUUAAGUUUAUUAUUAUUAUACAUGGUGUAUCAUACA